UAAGGUUCGAACAAAACGGAAAAAAUGGUAACAAAAUCGUGAGAAAAAGUAUUUCAUCUUCCCUCAACCACCGAAAUUCGAACAACAAAGCACGAAAGAAUAGAGGGGUAAGAAGGGUCGAAUUCAUAGAGAAAUAUGGCAUUUAUUGUUUACUAUCAUCCGCAAUGGCAGUUGCCACUCACUGCCCCUGCUUGGAGUGGUUGCAAAGAGUGGUUUCGGGUAUUGUUAUUUAAGAAGAGGAAAAAAGAGAGUCAUCAUUGAACGGGCCUCAAACUGCUGGUGCUGUGUGUAAUCCGAGAUCCAUGUUGUUGCUGUUAAGUUGCCACAAGAAGCUGCACGUUACCGUUGUAUUCCCUGGCAACUACAAAGACUACUCUGUGAUUGCCACUUGAGCUGCUGCUUGCUCCUUAAACAGAGGGAACCAUGUAUAUUUUGAACUGUUGGUACUACUGCUGCUGCGCACAAGUGAUAGUUGACUAUGGUUUGCUAGCUAAAGCUUCUCUAGUUGCUGCCUAAGGGAUUCCUAUUCUUGGGUAUUAUGGAAAGGGUCGAGGGUAGGCAUCUAGCCAUGAACAAUCAACACCAGAGGAAAAAUGUGCAUCCAACAGAAAGAUAAGAUAAGGAUUUUCUAAUGUGAGGCAAUGGGUCUGACAGUAAAUGGAGAUAAGACGAAAUGGAUGGU
rnacentral:sRNA from 1 species